UGACCCGGUACCUUCUCGCUCCGCCUCUUCCCCUCACCCUGCCCCUUUUGGCCACGGACCCUCUCCUCGGCACCAGCCUUCUCGCCGCGAGACCUCUCCUUGCCUUUCGCUGUCUCCCGGCCCCGCGCCCUCGCUUCACCCUGCACCUUCUCCUCUCUCUGCGCCGGCGCUGACUUCUCGGUCGGUACCUUCUCGAUCCUCACCUUCCGGUGGAACCGCGACACCUUCUCGCCCCGCCCCCUUCUCUCGUCCCGCCUUUCCAUGCCCUUGGCCCCUACCUGCCCUACGCCCCGCCUCUUCUAGCCCCGCCCGUGCACAUCGCGGCUUCUCCCUGCUCCUCGGCCCGCUCUUUCUCCUCUCCUCCCCAGUUUCUCCCCUCUUCUCCCCGGCCCCUACCUUCCUCCCCCUCCGCUUCUCAACCCCGUCCCCACCCCCCCCGGGAUGGCCCCAGGCACCUCCCUCUUCUCCCCGCCCCGCGGUACCAGUCACUUGGUUAAAACCGGUCAACCGUCACUUGGCCGCUCCAGUCCCGCCCCUCCUGCCCGGUCUCAAAAUGGCCGCUCGCACUUCCACAACCGACUUCCACCUUACCCAAGGCACGUCUGCGUCAUGCGCCUGUCUCUAUGGUAACGCGUCCUCCCCAAUAGGCGUCAAGGACUUGGGGCCCGCGGACUUUAAAGCAUCCAGGAGUGCCGGGAGUGGCCGGCAGAGGGUGCUGGAGACAGAGUCUGUGACAGGAAGGUCUUCAAAGAGCUCCUUUUGCUGACAGCAAGCCCCGCCCCUACUCCUCCUUCUACCCAAUCAGGCUUUUAUAUCAACAGCCGGCAUCCUACCUCUAGGACCUCGCGGGAGCGAAUUAAGCUGUCUACGCUACAAAGCUGCAACAGUGGAGAAAGGCAAUCGUCUCUUAGAGUUCUCCGGAUAAGGCAAUAAGAUGACAUCGUAAAGAGUGAACCACAGUAACUGGCGCAAGGGCCUGGUGUCUUUCUAGAAGAAGUUGAAAAGAGAAGUGAUGAGAUGAGCAGAAGCCCAAAAUCACACAAGCAUCUCUCUGGAGUAUGAGAUGGGGGAGAAGCAACUGCCUCCCCACCCUGAUGCAAUGAGGCAGCCAACAGUGACCUUGGUGAGGAGCCUAGAAGGUUGGGGGCUGAGAAGGAGCAAGACGGAUAAGGAAGCUUGAGAAUCACAGGAGUAAAGUGACUGCCCAAGGACACAGCCAGGAAGCAGCUGAGCUGGGAUUUGCACCCGGAUGCACGGUAUGCAGUUAGUCCUUAGCAAAUGAGGGCGGCUCUUACAGUGGUCCUGGCUUCCAUACCGCUCGGAUCUGGGCUGGAAUCCUGCCUCAGUUUCCUGCCUGCCAGCUGAUGAUGAAGAUCCUGUCACCCCAGGCUUAUGCCGGGGCUCUCCACACAGAGUCUUGCUCCUUGGAGAUACCCGGGAAGAAUUAGUCAGGUGCAGCUUCUCCUGGCUACUCAUGUUUCAAGCCUUGGUUUAGUUGUCCCUUCCUCCGGGAAGAUUUCCCGGAGCUUCCAAACUGGACCAGGCACAUUCCCUGUGCCAACCCUGUCCCUGCUCUGACCCCUCUGCCUCGCGUUUCCCCCACUGCAGCCCUGAGUAUUCUGGGCUGUCACUGGCUGGGAGGUGGGUCUGUUUUCCACACUGGACCGCAAGUCCCCUGAGAGCAGGAUCCGGGGCCAUCCCGACCACUGCUGUGUCCCACAAAGGAGGGGGUUUGGGGUGAGUGAAUAUAUUCUUCCCAUUUGACAGAUGAAGAAAUCAAGACUCAGAGAGGGGCAGUCACUUGCCCACAGGGUAGUGACAGACCUAGGACCUGAAAUGAGGUCUGAUCCCAGAGCCUGGUGAGUCGGCAGCUGGUCAUCAGCUGAGUGAGAGAGGCUGGGUGUAAGAGAAUGAGAAACAGAAAGGCAGUGGGAAAACCAGAGGACCCACGAGACCCAGAGUGGGAGGGAAAAUGAGAGAAAGGGGAAGCAAGACAAUGUCAGGUGCUUGGUGGCACCCAGGAUGUGGAAAUGGGGCCUGCCGGACCCUUGCAUCCCAGCCAGGUGCAGUGCCCCACAAGCACCUGUAUGUGCACGUGGCCACUCUUAUACCAUCAGCUCCAGUCCUGUGGGCACCUCGGCCCCAGGCCAGUUCCAUUUAGCCCAGGGCACCUGCCCCAGCUACCUGGGGAUGGAGGCGUAGUCAGUGUGGCAGCUGGCAGUGAGUUGUUGGUGCGGCUCCAGCUGGGGGUCCAGAAUGUCUACCUGAUCGUCCUCAUCUUCGUUGGAGCCAGCAGGGCAGGGGGUGGGCAGCAGGAUGAGCUCAGUGAGGCCGUGCAGGUCUGACACAUGGCGGAAAGUCUGCAGCACCAGCACCAUGGCCACCAGGCCCAGGAAGAGGUAGGCUGAGAGACGGCAGAGGGGGAUGGGUGGACUUGGGCUCAGACCCCCAGGGCAGGCCCUCCCUCUUCCCCUGCAUGUCCCCGGCCGGCCACCCUGCUCACCUGUGACCAGCGUCUUGUAGAGGGCCCGGUAGGGCUGCCCAGGGGCCUCUCCGGGCACAUAGUCACCCAGGCCAAUGGUGGAUAGGGAGAUGAAGCAGAAGUAGAAAGCAUCCAGGAAGCUCCAAGCCUCCUCGAGAUAGGCAAAGACUGCCGCUGGCACCACGAAGCAGGUGGUCACCACGACUCCCAGCAGAGCCACCAGGUGCCACCGGGCUGCCUGCCGGGGGUCCCAGCCCCAACGCACGGUCAGCCAGGACAAGGGCACGUGGGUCAGCAGCAGCGACAGGCGCUGGGCCGAGGCGGUCAGCAGCAGCAUGGUGGCCGGCACACCCAGGAAGGCAAAGGCAAUAGAGAAGGCCUUGCCCGCAUCGGUCAGUGGCGUUGUAUAGCCAUAGCCUGUGGGAGGAAGGGGGAAGUCCUUCUGCCCACUUGGCACCUCCACUUGGGUGUCUGUGGACCCCAAAUCAAGACCUAGUUUUACCCCCAAACCUGCCCCUCUCCCAGUCUCUCCAGUCUCAGGUGAUGGCACCUCUGUCCUUUGAGCUGCUCAGGCCAAAAGCCUGUGUCCUUCUCUUCACAUUCAACCUGUCCACCUGUCCUGUUGUCUCAGCCUUCUGAUCUACGUCCCUCCCUGGUCCUGUCCAUCAAAGCAGCCUCCUCCAAGGCCUCCUGCUCCCCUCUGAAUGCCAGAGUCAGAUCACGGCCCUCUCUGCUCAGAGCCCUCCUGUGGCCCCAUCUCACACAGGGUCAUAGGACAGAGUUCUCAUCAUGGCCCACGAGACCCCCACCAUCUGCCCGUCACCUCCCUGACCUCAGCUUCUUUCACUCACCCCCUGGCUCAUUCUCCCAGCUACACGGGCCUCCUUGCUGACAGUCCAUGCAGCAACUUUGCACUGGCUAUUCCCAUCCCAUGGAAUGCUCUUCCCCCAGUACCUGCCUGGCUCACUCACUCCCAACCUCAGGAAUUUGCUCAGGUCACCUUCUCAGUGAUGCUUUCGCCUGUCCACCUUAUUUAAAAUUUUACCACCCCAUUUUUUGUUUGUUUGUUUUCACAGCACUUAACGCCUUCUAGCAUACUAUAAGAUUUACUUAUUUGGUAAAUAAGUAAAUUUAUUUAUUUACUUAUGUCUCCCCACUGGGGUGUCAGCUCCAGGAGGGCAGGGGUUUCUUUCUGUUUUGAUAUCUGGCAUAGAGUAAGCACUUAAUAUUUGUCAAAAUAAUGAAUGAAGGGUGCAGGCUGUAGCCUGGCUCUGAGCCUCCGUUUCCUCUAUUCUAACAUGGGUGUGGCAAGCCCUACCAGGGUCCCAGACCACAUUGGAACUCAGCAAGGCCUGUGUGGGUGUGAGCUCCACAAACAGAAACAUGGUAAAGGGGGAUGAAUUCAGGUGUUGGUGGGAUUGGCUUUCUGUGGCAAUGUCCAAUAUUAAAAUCUUUUUUCUUUUCCCAAAUCAAACCAAAGGGUCAGAGAGGUGACAGGAUGGUGAGGGGCCUGGUUUACAUUGACAAGAAAAUGUCUUGCCUAAUGAACUACAGAUCUUGUCCUGUGAUCAAUAAAAUGUGGAAACACUGCACAGA